UGCUUCCUGAAUAAAUAUAGGAAGUAAUCUCCUGCCCAGUGAAAUUUUUCAACGGCCGCGGUAUCCUAACCGUGCAAAGGUAGCAUAAUAACUUGCUCAUUAAUUGUGGGCUAGAAUGAACGGGGUAACGAAAUAAGCACUGUGUCAAUAAGAUAAAUAAAAACUAUUCUCCAAGUGAAGAAACUUAGAUUAUGUUAGAGGACAAGAAGACCCUAUAGAGCUUUAUCUUGACACUACACAGUAGUUCUAUAGAUUCGGUUGGGGCGACCUAGGAAAUAAUCAUCCUUUUACUAUAAGACUAAUAAGUCAAAUCAAUGACCCUUUAUAAGAUCAAAAGAAUAAGCUACCUUAGGGAUAACAGGCUAAUCCUACUUUAGAGCCCUUAUCAACAGUAGGGAUUGGCACCUCGAUGUUGGCUUAGAAUAUCUCUAUGGCGCAGAAGUCAUAUAAAGAAGGUUUGUUCCACCCUAUAAUAUUCU
rnacentral:rRNA from 1 species